AUGUAUUUGAGCUUAAAGGACAUUCUGACCACAGCGAAUGUUGAGAAUAUGGAAGAGCAGCCUUUAACCUCAUGGUGCUUGCGUCAGUCUGCUGCCCAAGAUGAGUGGCGGAAAGCACGGUCCCAUCACCUGAACUGUUUGCUGUCCUGCAAUGAGGUCCCAAAAAGGAAGUGCUGUCACUGCACCUCCCCUGCUAUAAUUCGCUGCAGAGACUGCAUGCCAGAGGAUUGGCUGUGUAUGGAAUGUGACAUACACAUACAUUUUAAACUCACACUUCAUAACAGGGAGUCUCACAUUGAUGGAAUUUACAAGCCCAUUAAGCCAGUGUGCUGCGUAGAAAAGGAUGGCGCAUACUGUCUGGUCAGUCAAGUGCAACUGUUGCCUACAGUGAGACCUUCCCAGCUAUGCACCCG
rnacentral:lncRNA from 15 species